UACGUAGGGGGCGAGCGUUGUCCGGAAUUAUUGGGCGUAAAGAGCGUGUAGGCGGUUCGGUAAGUCUGCCGUGAAAACCUGAGGCUCAACCUCGGGCGUGCGGUGGAUACUGCCGGGCUAGAGGACGGUAGAGGCGACUGGAAUUCCUGGUGUAGCGGUGAAAUGCGCAGAUAUCAGGAGGAACACCGGUGGCGAAGGCGGGUCUCUGGGCCGAUACUGACGCUGAGGAGCGAAAGCGUGGGGAGCGAACAGG
rnacentral:rRNA from 1 species